CGCAACGUAGCCGUAUGUUCGCGCGUGAGCUGAGCUGGCCGUUUUGGGUGGUUUUGAGCGCAACAAACCAAAUAAUGUUGUUCAACGUAUUUGAAUUGUGUUUUAUUUUACACGUGCACGGGUGUGCAGCGAUAUAUAGCUCUCUGAGCAGUAUAAUCGGUUGCGGACGGAGGACAACUUUCAGCGAGAAAUGGCUUUCACACACCGACGUCCAAAUGGGACUGAUCGCAAAUUUGCAGCGGCGCUUUGUCACUUAAAAACGCUGUGUUUAGGCAGUUAUCUCAUCGACACGCUUUACUAGGAUACGUGCGUGAGCACAACGGAACUAAAAUGAUGCCAGGCUUUAGACGGUGAAUGCGUUCUGGUGUCAAGAUAUUGUAAGCAAGGUUGGCCAAGACAAGACAAACUUCCACCGCAGGUACAGGAGUACCGCAAGUACCAGGGAGAACUUUCAGUAUGUAAUGACUUGCUGAUGCGAGGUAACUGCAUCGUAGUCCCAACAUCACUUCGUCAAAAGAUUCUCCAAGUCCUGCAUGAGGGGCAUCAAGGCAUUGAACGAUGCAAGGCACGAGCAAGGGAAAGCGUCUGGUGGCCCUCUCUGGGGAAGCACAUUGCAAGUCUGGUCAGCAGGUGCCAUCUGUGUGCACAGAGUCGAAUCCAACGCAGCGAACCGCUCCUAAGCUCGAGCACACCGAGUAUCCCCCGGGAGGAAGUAGGAAUCGACAUUUUCCGUUUGAACGGCACGGACUAUCUGCUCAUCGUCGAUUACCGUUCCCGAUACCCAGAGGUGGUGUCGCUGAAAUCAACCACUUCCUCUAACGUAAUCACCGCAACGAAGAGCGUUUUCGCACGUCACGGCAUACCCAGGACUGUACGGAGCGAUAACGGCUCGCAAUCUGUAGCACGGGAAUUCGAGCAAUUGGCUUGUGUGUACGGAUUCGACCACAUGACCAGUAGCCCCAGGUAUGCGCAAUCUAAUGGCCAGGUGAAACGAACAGUACGCACGGUGAAGGGGACCCGUACCUUGCUUUAUUAGUGUAUCGGGACACCCCAGGUGUAUCAGGAUUGAGCCCGGCCCAGCUCCUGAUGGAGUGACGGCUACAGACAACUCUCCCAAGAAGUCCACACCUUUUGAAGCCUCUCUGGCGCGACAGAAAAUUUGACAAGAAUGAUAGACGAGCCAAACAGCGCCAGGCAAGCGACUUCAAUCGACGACAUGGAGUAGUGCAUCUUCGUCCUCUAACUCCUGGUGAGUGAGUCUGGGUACAGGAUGCGGAAUGUACAGGUACAGUCCUCAGCCCUGCCAGGCGACCACGUUCCUACGUUGUUGAGACCGCUACAGGGUUGCUGGAACGGAACCAAAAGCAUUUGGUUCCAUUCGAUCGGGGAGACAUCGUGGUGAACGAAAACCAUCCGCGUCUGAACCAGCAACGAUCACCUAUGGCCCGUGACAGUCCAGAAGAGAGCACGAACGCCGGACAGCAAGCAACCGCUGACCGGCCCACAACCCCUUCGAAUGAAGGACGGAGAACGAGAUAUGGAAGACUUAUUGUUGUGCCGAAGCACCUUAACUUGUAAGGAGUCUGUUUUGCUUAGACUGAGCUUUGGCAAGCAUUUAUGCGAUGUAAUUUUGUUAUCGUGAUACUUGGUUAUGUUAUCUCGGGAGAAGAGAUGUAGAGGACGCUACUAGUUAUCUUGUUAGAAACUAUAACCGCUAGUAGUAGGCGCCGAUGUUGAGGGUGUUUAAUAAAAGGAACCGGCAUGACCGGGGGGGCGUGC